GAUAAUGCAGCCACCUCUAACCCUUGACAGUGUCUAUAAUAUGGUUCUCAAUGAUGAGAAGCAUAGACAAGUCCAGUCCCCUUCUCAGUUUAAUCCAGACUCUAUGUCUUUCAAUGUCCACAAUAAUAGACAUUCAGUUGGAUUCAAUAAGGCCACAAUGCCUAAUCCUUCUCCUCCUUUCAGACAAAGAGUCAAUUUUGACCAAGCUAGAGGGCCUUUAGUAUGUAGAUACUGAAAAAAAUCUGGGCACUUAAUUGAUAAGUGUUUCAAUAUUCAUGGGUAUCCACAAAGUACAACAUUUAACAAGGGGAGGAGAAUUGCUGCUGCUCAUCUUACUGCUGGUGUGGAUAUCCUUCCUUCUGAAGGACAUGUGUCUAUUCCCCAAGGGAAUCCUCCUGAAAGCCAUCAAUCUGUUACAAACAUAGCUGGCCAGAGUUCUGUGAUACCAGGGUUGAGCAGACAACAGUAUG
rnacentral:lncRNA from 1 species